rnacentral:rRNA from 1 species
UUAAAAAGCUCGUAGUUGGAUUUCUGCUUGGAAGACCUGGUCUCCUUCUUAAGGAACAAUCAGUGUCGUCUAGGCAUCCUCUGGAAAACGGUAUUUGUGCUUGAUUGCAUGGUUCCGAGUUCCGGACAUUUACCUUGAGGAAUUAGAGUGUUCAUAGCAUGCAAUUGCAUUGAAUAUAUUAGCAUGGGAUAAUAAUAUAAGACUGAGUUUUUAUUUUGUUGGUUUCUAAGAAUUCAGUAAUGGUAAAUAGGAAUUGUCGGGGGUACUCGUAUUAACUCGUCAGAGGUGGAAUUCUUGGAUUGAGUUACGACAAGCUACUGCGAAAGCAUUUACCAAGGAUGUUUUCAUUGAUCAAGAACGAAAGUUUGGGGAUCGAAGAUGACUAGAUACCGUCGUAGUCCAAACCAUAAACUAUGCCAACUAAAAAUCGGAGAGUGAUUAUUUACGUCUUCUUCGGCGAUUUAUGAGAAAUCAAAGUCUUUGGGUUCCGGGGGGAGUAUGAUCGCAAGGUUGAAACUUAAAGGAAUUGACGGAAGGGCACCACCAGGAGUGGAGCCUGCGGCUUAAUUUGACUCAACACGGGAAAACUCACCAGGUCCGGACAUAGUAAGGAUUGACAGAU